CGUAGGUGAACCUGCGGAAGGAUCAUUAACCGAGUUGAUUCGAGCCCCGGCUCGAACUUCUCCCACCCCUAAUGUGGUACCUACCCUUCUGUUGGCUUUGAGCGGGCCGCGGUUCCUUCCGCACCGGCUUCCCUUCCGGGGGCUGAGCCAGCGCCCGCCAGAGGACCACAAAACUCCAGUCAGCGAACGUCUCAGUCUGAAAAACAAGUUAAUAAACUAAAACUUUCAACAACGGAUCUCUUGGUUCUGGCAUCGAUGAAGAACGCAGCGAAAUGCGAUAAGUAAUGUGAAUUGCAGAAUUCAGUGAAUCAUCGAAUCUUUGAACGCACAUUGCGCCCCUUGGUAUUCCGAGGGGCAUGCCUGUUCGAGCGUCAUUUCAACCCUCAAGCUCUGCUUGGUAUUGGGCUCCGUCCUCCACGGACGCGCCUCAAAGACCUCGGCGGUGGCGUCUUGCCUCAAGCGUAGUAGAAAACACCUCGCUUUGGAGCGCACGGCGCCGCCCGCCGGACGAACCUUCGAAUUUUUUCUCAAGGUUGACCUCGGAUCAGAGUAGGG
rnacentral:rRNA from 1 species